CCCCUAGAUGUUCUGGGCAGCACGCGCGCUACAAUGGUCUUCGCAAACGGAUGCAUUCUCGAAGGAGAAUGCCAAUCUUGGAAUCUAUGCCUUGGUCGGGACAGUUGCUUGCAAUUUUUCGACUCGAACCAGGAAUUCCUUGUAAUCGUGAUUCAUCACAUCACGAUGAAUACGUCCCUGCCCUUUGUACACACCGCCCGUCGCUCCUACCGAUCGAAGAGUUAGGUGAAUUGUUUUGAUCGAUAAGAUUUGACUAUGGUCAACUCUCGUUGUGAAAUUCUGUGAAUCUGACUGUUUAGAGGAAGGAAAAGUCGUAACA
rnacentral:rRNA from 1 species